rnacentral:rRNA from 1 species
GCUUACGGCCAUACCACCCUGAACACGCCCGAUCUCUCGAAGCUAAGCAGGGUCGGGCCUGGUUAGUACUUGGAUGGGAGACCGCCUGGGAAUACCAGGUGCUGUAAGCU